GAUGAACGCUAGCUACAGGCUUAACACAUGCAAGUCGAGGGGUAACGAGAGGAAAGCUUGCUUUCCUUGUCGACGACCGGCGCACGGGUGAGUAACGCGUAUCCAACCUGCCCCCAACUAGGGAAUAACCUUGCGAAAGUAAGACUAAUACCCUAUAAUUUCCUCAGAUGUCAUCUGACGAGGAAUAAAGAUUUAUCGGUUGUGGAUGGGGAUGCGUCUGAUUAGCUUGUUGGCGGGGUAACGGCCCACCAAGGCAACGAUCAGUAGGGGUUCUGAGAGGGAGGUCCCCAACAUUGGAACUGGGACACGGUCCAAACUCCUACGGGAGGCAGCAGUGAGGAAUAUUGGUCAAUGGGCGGAAGCCUGAACCAGCCAAGUAGCGUGCAGGAUGACGGCCCUAUGGGUUGUAAACUGCUUUUAUACAGGAAUAAAGUUAGCCACGUGUGGUUAUUUGUAGGUACUGUAUGAAUAAGGACCGGCUAAUUCCGUGCCAGCAGCCGCCGUAA
rnacentral:rRNA from 1 species